rfam:Pseudonocardia sp. HH130629-09, complete genome.
CGGUCUCGACCAGCUGCGGGCAGAUGAAGUGCACGUGCGCGUCGAUCGCCCCCGAGGUGAGGAUGCGUCCGUUGCCCGCGAGCACCUCGGUGCCCGGCCCGAUCACCAGGGCGGGGUCGACGCCGUUCAUCGUGUCGGGGUUGCCGGCCUUGCCGAUCCCGACGAUGCGGCCGUCCUUGACCCCGAUGUCGGCCUUGAUCACGCCCCAGUGGUCGAGCACGACGGCACCGGUGAUCACCAGGUCCGGGCAGUGCGCGGCGGUGACGGCGGCCUGGCCCAUCGACUCCCG